rnacentral:rRNA from 1 species
UACAGAGGGGGCAAGCGUUAUUCGGAAUUAUUGGGCGUAAAGCGCACGUAGGCGGCUUUGUAAGUUAGAGGUGAAAGCCCGGGGCUCAACUCCGGAAUUGCCUUUAAGACUGCAUCGCUAGAAUUGUGGAGAGGUAAGUGGAAUUCCGAGUGUAGAGGUGAAAUUCGUAGAUAUUCGGAAGAACACCAGUGGCGAAGGCGACUUACUGGACACAUAUUGACGCUGAGGUGCGAAAGCGUGGGGAGCAAACAGG